rnacentral:sRNA from 1 species
GUCGGGCUCUGGGAGAGAGCGAGAGAGAAAUCCGGUUAAAAUCAGAGUCGGAGGGAGGUUUAACCAUAGAUCGGUUCCGAUCGGAUUAUUCCUUAAAGGGGACGCGCCAUUGUCAAGAGAACGGAGCCAGGGGCCCGAGGGCGGGGACCGGCGGCGCUGGAGGAGCGAGGCAGCUGUACUAGGACUGGGGACGGAGCUGAAGCCAUUUAUUGUUAUCUUGGAUGGUUAACAUCUAAAUGCUUAAUUCCUGAAACCACUCAAGAGUCAUAGGAUUAGAUGAUCCAAGUUACCACCAAGAAAUUACUGUCUCAAGUGAUACGAUCCUUGAGGAAUUGCCAUACUGUCUUCCACAAUGGUUGAACUAAUUUACACUCCCACCAACAGUGUAAAAGCAUUCCUGUUUCUCCACAUCCUCUCCAGCAUCUGUUGUUUCCUUACUUUUUAAUGAUUGCCAUUCUAACUGGUGUGAGAUGAUAUCUCAUUGUGAAGUCACAGAUAUUUUUUACUUUUGUUCAUGUUCCAAAGCCUUUACCUUCUACUUUUUCUUUUGUAGGUAAUCAUCAAAAUUUUUAUUAUUAGCCAAUAUGGUGUAUAAAUAAUAAUUAUUGUAAUACUAAGCAAUUGUAUGUUAUGUAAAAAUUUCUGUUAUAUAAAUCUAUGCAUAAAUAUAUGCAUAUAAUAUGUGUGUACAUAU